rnacentral:lncRNA from 1 species
ACUCUUCUGCGGGAAGGGCUUGGCGUAGACCGCGCACUGGAAGGCGUGCGCGCAGGUGUGCGUGACCAUGUGCUUGAAACGGCAGUAGCGCAGCGAGAAGGAUCGCCAUCACACGGCGCACUGGUGCGGCUUCUCCCCCGAGUGGAUGAACAUGUGCUUGGUGUCGUUUUUCCUUGAGCUGAACGUCUUGCAACAGUGGCCGCACGCAUAGCUGCCCCAGAUCCCGGAAGAAAAUCUCUCCCACACCACUGUAGUCAGAGAGGCCAGUGGGUGCAUGGAACUCCUCGCACGCGCUGUCAGCAGCAGCAGUGAGGAAGCCGGCAGCACAGUCUGGGAAGGAAGGAGGUGCUUGGCUCUCUCCCGGGCCGCCACCUUCGCCGUCCUCGCCAUCGGUCUCAUCGUCAGUUUCCUCGUCAUCGUUGUCACCUCGGUCGUCAGGGGCCGCGGACAGUGAGGGGUAGGCACCAAGCCCCUCGGCUUUGGCAGGUGUCGGGGGCGCAGGCAGCUGCAAACUCGCGGGCCGGCGCUGCUUACCGCUGUGCGCGGCACCGGGGUGCCCCGGGGGUGCGCAGCCAGCAGGUGGCGCAGGCGGUGACGCAGCUGCUCAGGUGCGAGUGGCGGGGGCACAGGGGUGGGCAGGGGCGCGGGUGCAGAGGUGCUCGCGGGUGCAGAGGAGCGCGUGCGAUAAUCUGCGUGCAUUCGUCGAUAACUGUCUAUGCGAAGCACCGACGCAGCCAUGAGUACCUGCGGGGCUUCACUCUGUGCCACAACGAGCGAACCGCUGUACAGGAGCUCGACUAGCUGUCGCACCGUCUGCACAGGCACCACCGAAGGCACACGGAUCUCAGAGGGGCCGAGCAGCAGCUUGUCUUGGAAGGAGGGCGAGCCGAUUGCCAGCCCGCAGCGGUGCGCACGCAGCGAAGCUUCAUGAAUGCACACAGUCACGUCGCAGAAGUGCCCACCCAGCUUCUGCCCAUUGAGGGUCUCAAGCAGAGAGCGUGAGAAGUUCUGCAGAUGUAUGUGGCGCACAGCCUCUACAGCCGCCGACUCCGACUCCUCUUCAGGCACCAGGCCUGGCCGUGGCCGCCUUCUCACCGACUCCAAGGCAGCACUUCCGGGCGCUUCUCUUUAUUUUUAUACAGUUUUAUUGAGAUAUAAUUUACAUGCUAUCCAGCCCAUCUAUUUCAAGUGUACCAUGCAAGGGGUUUGUAUAUAUUCACAGAGUUGUGUAUCCAUCACCAUCGUUUUAGAACAUUCAUCACUCCAGAAGAAACUACUACCCAUCAGCAGCCACUGCCCAUUUCCCUGAUCUGCCCCGCCCUAGGAAAUCCGUAAUCACUUUCAGUCUAUGGAUUUGCCUAUUCUAGACCAUUCAUAUAAAUGAAGUCACACAACACUGGGUCUUAUGUGACUGGCUUCUAUCAAAGUUUGCAAGGUUCAUUUAUGUUCAUGGGCUGACCCCACAUUGGACACCGCUGCAUCCAUGUCCAUCACACAACACAGCUGCCGUUUCUUCUGCCUGCUUAUGGGAAAGUCCCCUCUUCUCCUCCGUUUUCUUCUCUUCCUGCCCUAUCACACCGUGCACUUCUCCCUUUCCUUAAAGAACCACCAUCAACUUUAGGAGGAGGGAAAGGGGUGGCUCUGGCAGGAAAAGCCAGAAUCCCCUCUAGCCAGCAGAGAGAGAGAGGAAUGGCUGCAUGUUUUCUCCCCCAGUCCAAGGCACUGGGUCUUGGCUGGGUUGAAGGUUCCAAGCUGCUCUCCUGCUGUGUCGGUGAGUUCUGGUCAACCUGCAACCUCCUGAUAUGGCCAUUGCAGUUCAUCGAGUCUUCAGGGACUCCCCAUGGCCUGGAGUACUUUGCCUUGCUUACACGGGAGAGGAGAAUGGAUUUAUAGAGAACAUCAUCUAAAUCCAACUUGACCAUUGUGUGGCCACACUUGCUAGAUUGCUAUAGUCUAAAUCUAGCAUUGUAGAAAGACGGGGGAGCUUGGAGCUGCACAAACCCAGGUCUGGAACUGGCUCCUUACCUUGGAAGGUGAAUGAUCCUGCCAGGACUCUUAGCCUCCCUGGGUCUCAAUUUCUUUAUCUGUUUCAUGGGAAUGAGGAUCUCUGCUGGGUGGUUGGGUGAUGUGGGGGCUGUGUGAAAACAGCUUGUCAAUACAAGCCAAAAUAGAAAUAUUUCUCCACAGAGUAUGAAGGUCAAAUGAGAGAAUACAUUUAAAUUAAAUGGAAAAUUAAAAUGGUAAAAAAUGCAAAGCUGUAUUGAAAGUUCCGAGCUUCUCUAUAAGGAGCUUUUUGACUAUGUAAGAAUCCUGUACUCGUUCCCCCUAAAUAU